rnacentral:RNase_P_RNA from 1 species
GGAGUUGGCCAGGCAGUCGCUCUACGCUUAGGCGUGGGGAGGAAAGUCCGGGCUCCAUAGGGCAAAGCGCCAGGUAACACCUGGGAGAUGUAAGUCUACGGAAAGUGCCACAGAAAAUAUACCGCCUUAGAAGAAGUGCUUAGGCAUGAAUUUUAAGGCAAGGGUGAAAUGGUGCGGUAAGAGCGCACCGCAUGAUUGGCAACAGUCAUGGCAGGGAAAACCCCGCUUGGAGCAAGACCAAAUAGGAACUCGUUAAUGCGGCCCGCAUUGAGUUCGGGUAGGUUGCUUGAGUUAUUCGGUGACGAAUAAUCGAGAUGAAUGACUGUCCACGACAGAACCCGGCUUAUCGGCUGGCUCCCCUU